rnacentral:rRNA from 1 species
AUUGAACGCUGGCGGAAUGCUUUACACAUGCAAGUCGAACGGCAGCACGGGGCAACCUGGUGGCGAGUGGCGAACGGGUGAGUAAUACAUCGGAACGUGCCCAAUCGUGGGGGAUAACGUAGCGAAAGUUACGCUAAUACCGCAUACGAUCUACGGAUGAAAGCGGGGGAUCGCAAGACCUCGCGCGAAUGGAGCGGCCGAUGUCAGAUUAGGUAGUUGGUGGGGUAAAGGCUCACCAAGCCAACGAUCUGUAGCUGGUCUGAGAGGACGACCAGCCACACUGGAACUGAGACACGGUCCAGACUCCUACGGGAGGCAGCAGUGGGGAAUUUUGGGACAAUGGGCGCAAGCCUGAUCCAGCCAUUCCGCGUGCAGGAUGAAGGCC